CACGAACCGGGCAAACGUUAUUCGGAAUUAUUGGGCGUAAAGGGUGCGUAGGCGGCGCGGUAAGUUGGGUGUGAAAUCCCUCGGCUCAACCGAGGAAUUGCGCCCAAAACUACCGUGCUCGAGGGAGACAGAGGUGAGCGGAACUGAUGGUGGAGCGGCGAAAUGCUUUGAUAUCAUCAGGAACACCGGUGGCGAAAGCGGCUCACUGGGUCUUUUCUGACGCUGAGGCACGAAAGCUAGGGGAGCGAACGGG
rnacentral:misc_RNA from 1 species